ACUCGCACAGAUCCUGCUGCUUAUCUCAUGUGGGAGGAAGAAAAUGUCUUCAUCCAGCAGUGAGGUGGGUUCCUGGGAUCCCUGAAUUUCUGCAUUUUGCAAGUCCUCCCUGGUAGCUGAAGAACUAGAGACCAUGCUUUCCAGCGCAAUCCCUGCGGCACUGUUUGCCACUGCUGAAGCUGUCUACGUGAAAGCACACAAGUAGUUUGGUCCCAGCUGGCUCUGUUGUGCCCUGCAUCAGCCUCCAGAAAGCCUGUGUCAUGGGACAAGAGACCUUUCAGCUGGAGAAGUCAGUCACUAUUCAAGCUUGGCCCAGAU